rnacentral:rRNA from 1 species
UAGGGAAUCUUCCGCAAUGGACGCAAGUCUGACGGAGCAACGCCGCGUGAGUGAAGAAGGAUUUCGGUUCGUAAAACUCUGUUGUUAGAGAAGAACAGCGCAUAGAGUAACUGUUAUGCGUGUGACGGUAUCUAACCAGAAAGCCACGGCUAACUACGUGCCAGCAGCCGCGGUAAUACGUAGGUGGCAAGCGUUGUCCGGAUUUAUUGGGCGUAAAGCGAGCGCAGGCGGUCAAUUAAGUCUGAUGUGAAAGCCCCCGGCUCAACCGGGGAGGGUCAUUGGAAACUGGUUGACUUGAGUGCAGAAGAGGGGAGUGGAAUUCCAUGUGUAGCGGUGAAAUGCGUAGGUAUAUGGAGGAACCCCAGUGGCGAAGGCGACUCUCUGGUCUGUAACUGACGCUGAGGUUCGAAAGCGUGGGUAGCAAACAGG